AGAUAUCACUGUACUCAUGAAGCUGGUGUACAUAGUGUUGGGCUAACUUGGAUUCAUAAACUUCACAAAUUUCUUGGAUCAGAUGAAGAAGAUAAGGAUAGUUUACAGGAACUCUCUACAGAACAGAAAUGCUUUGUUGAACACAUCCUUUGUACGAAGCCAUUGCCCUGCAGGCAGCCAGCUCCGAUUCGAGGAUUUUGGAUUGUACCUGACAUUCUGGGACCCACGAUGAUCUGCAUCACCAGUACCUAUGAAUGCCUCAUAUGGCCGUUAUUGUACGUCCCAUUUUAUAUUCUCCACACAGCUCUUGUUAAUUCUGCAGUAUCUAAGUUGGGAAAAUGCACUCAGUAACCAACUUGAA
rnacentral:sRNA from 1 species